rnacentral:rRNA from 1 species
UACAGAGGUCCCGAGCGUUGUUCGGAUUCACUGGGCGUAAAGGGUGCGUAGGUGGCAUGGUAAGUUUGAUGUGAAAGCUCAGGGCUUAACCCUGAAAUGGCAUUGAAUACUACUGGUGCUGGAGGUUUGGAGGGGGGACUGGAAUUCUUGGUGUAGCAGUGAAAUGCGUAGAUAUCAAGAGGAACACCAGUGGCGAAGGCGAGUCCCUGGACAACACCUGACACUGAGGCACGAAAGCUAGGGGAGCAAACAGG